rnacentral:rRNA from 1 species
CCUACGGGUGGCAGCAGUGAGGAAUAUUGGUCAAUGGGCGCGAGCCUGAACCAGCCAAGUAGCGUGAAGGAUGACUGCCCUACGGGUUGUAAACUUCUUUUAUAAAGGAAUAAAGUGAGGCACGUGUGCCUUUUUGUAUGUACUUUAUGAAUAAGGUUCGGCUAACUCCGUGCCAGCAGCCGCGGUAAUACGGAGGAUCCGGGCGUUAUCCGGAUUUAUUGGGUUUAAAGGGAGCGUAGAUGGGUUGUUAAGUCAGUUGUGAAAGUUUGCGGCUCAAACGUAAAAUUGCAAUUGAUACUGGGAGUCUUGAGUACAGGUGAGGUAGGCGGAAUUCGUGGUGUAGCGGUGAAAUGCUUAGAUAUCACGAAGAACUCCGAUUGCGAAGGCAGCUUACUAAUCUGCAACUGACAUUGAUGCUCGAAAGCGUGGGUAUCAAACAGGAUUAGAUACCCCUGUAGUC